rnacentral:lncRNA from 1 species
UUAACAUUGCGGGAAGAAAAGUAUUCCUCUUAUUAUUGAAACAAAAAUUGUUGGAGGCAUGAUAGUGAGUGGCGUGGCGUGGUGCAGUGGACACCAUCGUGUCUCUUCUCUCUACUAGAUAUUUAUCUCUACAAAUUAUUAUCUUUUCAACCUUUCUUCAUGAAGGGUGAGCCCUUGUGAGUGCUAAUAAAUGUAGAAAUUGAAAGAACAAACCUACCAAUAAAUAUUUUUAAAAUAUGACAAAAUGUGAACUGCAAAGUUCAGAGAAGCAGGCAUGUAAUAAGUUGGCAGCACUGAAUUUACUAUCGAUUGAUUUGUUAUUAUUUUGUAGUUGUCAGUGGCUGUCAUUUCGCUUGCUGUCACGUGUAAUUGUUAUUAUUCGUUUAAUCGUUAUUAUAAAAAAAUAACAAAGUUUCUGAGAAGAAUCCUGUUGGUUUUAACUUUGUUAGGCCAUCUGCGCCUCGAGAACUCGGCAGAGCUCAGGAGCGGAAGAGGGAAGGGAUCAUGAGGGAUCUGCAGCCUCCCACUGAUGAAGAGAUCCAGAGUUAUGUGAGGGAGAUCGUGGCGAAUGCAGACUUGGAACACAUAACUAUGAAGAUGGUGUAUGUGCAAGUAUUCAACAAGUACCCGGACUUUAAUCUCACUAAGAAGAAGAGUAUGAUCCGGGCAACGGUGAUGUCGGUGAG